rnacentral:lncRNA from 1 species
GCUCAUAGGAGGAUUGAGUCCAUUUGGAAGCGUUGGAGAUGACACAUCUGGUAAAUAGAAUAGCAUAUGUCAGUUUUCAGUGCAACUGGAUCAAAAUUACUGCUACUGCCUACGCUGGUGAUGUAGACUGCAUGGUCUUCUCUCUCUAUUAGGCUGCUUUCUUUUGGGAGAAUAGCUGCUCUCCUUUGCCAUUCCUGGGCUGGCACUGCUCACCAGUCUCUGAGCAAGAAAUCCAAGCCAAACACCACGUCCAGUGGUUCCUGUCUGGAGAGGACAUGGGUCUUCCACAUUCAGCUGUAGUGAAGAAGAGUAUAAUAAAAUAAAAAUGAAUACAAGAUUUUGUUGUUAC